rnacentral:rRNA from 1 species
GACGAACGCUGGCGGCGUGCUUAACACAUGCAAGUCGAACGGAAAGGCCCUGCUUUUGUGGGGUGCUCGAGUGGCGAACGGGUGAGUAACACGUGAGUAACCUGCCCUUGACUUUGGGAUAACUUCAGGAAACUGGGGCUAAUACCGGAUAGGAUCUCCUGCUGCAUUGUGGGCGUUGGAAAGUUUCGGCGGUUGGGGAUGGACUCGCGGCUUAUCAGCUUGUUGGUGGGGUAGUUGCUUACCAAGGCUUUGACGGGUAGCCGGCCUGAGAGGGUGACCGGCCACAUUGGGACUGAGGUACGGCCCAGACUCCUACGGGAGGCAGCAGUGGGGAAUAUUGCACAAUGGGCGGAAGUCUGAGGCAGCAGCGCCGCGUGCGGGAUGACGGCCUGCGGGUUGUAAACCGCUUUCGCCUGUGACGAAGCGUGAGUGACGGUAAUGGGUAAAGAAGCACCGGCUAACUACGUG